rnacentral:lncRNA from 1 species
GGAAAUGAGAUGGAGGGGGAGGGAUAAAGAAUCAAGAUGUAUUAUGUCCACGUGGGAACUCCCACCAGGAAAGUGAUGAUCAUGUACUGCAAACGGGUACUAAUAAAAACAUUUCAACAUAUUUUUAAGAAAUCAAACAGAUUCCCCCCUUGCUCCCCCAAAAGAGUAAAGUUGCCUAAAUGUCUCAUUCGGAGCGGUUCCUUCCCGUCAGGCCCUGGCUUCCUGAUCGCGCGCUGUAAUCACGCAGGUGUGGUGGGGGACGCCAAUUAGUGUAGGUCAGUACUAGCGCGGAUCAGCAUGGACUAAGUUACCAGUACUCUGGGGUACUUGCUACUGCCAGUCAUUAACAGAGUGCUCCAAAGAGGACCCGCCCCAGAGCACCCCCCGAAGUCCUGAGGAACCAGGCUGGCCCAGUGCGGGGCUGUAAGGAGUCCUCCCGGGCUUCUGAGCUGCUCCAGUUUGAGACCCGCCCCGGGAACCGCAGCGUCUGGGUAGUGCUGCUUUGGGGCGGGGCAGUCCGGUGGCCUACGGCUUGGGGGACUGGAAGCUCUGGUCUCAGAUGCGUGGUUCGGGGUGACAGUCCCCUCCCUUUAUGCUGCUGUGAUGACGCAGUCAGCGUUUGGCCCCCAGGGGAUGCCCCGUGCGGGGCUUGACCUCCUGAAGGCCCCGACGCGCUCAGGUGCACCGAGGAGGGACGGCAGGUGCGGCUGAUCAGGGCCACGGGACCCGCCGGCCUCUGCUGCGCAGCGGCGUGGGCAUGAGUGGGGCAGCGGCGGCGGGCGCUUCCCGAGGCUCCCGGGCCACGCGCGGCAACCGCCGGACGGCGAUGGAGCGGGGCGAGCAGAACGCUGAGUUGAGCUCCUCUGAGGAUGAGAGCCCCCCUCGAGUGCCAAAGAGGCCACCCUGGAAGAUGCCCAUCAAGUACAGCACCCCUGAGGGAGAGGAGGCAGCCCCGUACUGGAGCCCAAGGCCUGGAGGCCGGGCCUCCUACCUGCAAGAGUCCCCAGUGUCUGCGCUCUCUGCCCAGGACCUUGGGCCCCACCAAGCAGGGCUCAGCCCUAGGGCCACCUUCAGGAGGAGGAGGCUUUCCACCAUCUACGCCUUGGAGGAGGGCCCCAGCGUGCAGCCAGGGACCUGCUCAGACCCCUCAUCCCUCGGGGACAACUCACCAGAGCCCGCCUCGUUGGCCAAGCCACAGCAGAAGGCAGAGGACCUGCAAGGAAAUCGCUGGCCACGCAAUGCAGGUCUGCCUGGGGUGCCAGACACCUCCAAGAGGAAGAGACGGGACCCGAAGGAGCGGGCAGCCGUGAUGCUGCGGGUGAGACAGUGGGAGGCCCGUCUGCUGCAGGACAUCGAGGCAGCUGUGCACCAUGAGCUCACCAUCCAGGCCGAGGGGUUGCCUAGCAUGGGCAUGGUCCAGGUCCAGUUCGAUGCCCAGGAGCCCACCACCUCGGACUGACUUAACUGUCCACACCCACCGCACCAUCCACACCCAUUGCCCUGCGGUCCCUGGAUGACUGCGUGUUUACCCUGUCGGAGUCUAUGCAGUCAUCCGCAGGCUCUCCCCUUGAGCUGAUGAUUAGGAUGCAAUUCUCUGGAACAUUUCACAGAUGAGAUGGAGAACAGUGUGUAUGCGCUGCCCACAGGAAGAUGCCCGGGAAGCCAGCUGCAGAAGGAAGGGGCGCUACCACCCAAGUGCCCAGACGCAGGCAGAACGCAGUCCCUGUUCAUCCUUCUAAGACUUUCUGGGAGAGGUGGCUGUGAGGAACCCGGAACAGGGAAGCGGGGCAUUCCCAGAGCCGGACGCACGGGAUGUGUGUGUGGCAUGUGGGGUUGGACAAACAGCAGGAUUCCUCAGUGAAGGCUUUCAUGAGCACCUGGUAAGGCUGGUGCUUGGGAGGGGCUCGCUUAGGGAAAAGCACAGGUGUAACUUACACCAUUGCUUGGCAUAGAAAUGAGUCCCUCAGUCCUCACAGUGUGUGCAGACCCUCACGGUCUGCACAAGACGCAGUCAGAAAACCCUCUGAGGGAAGGAAAUGCAUUAAGUACCUGCUUUUCCUUGGUAGUUUUCCUCCCGUUGAAAAUGCCCGGAACUCUGAGAAGCUGCUGCCUCUAACCUUUCUUGACAUCUGAACAUCAUAUUUGCACCUGCUGCCUAUGCCCCACUGCCCCUUUGUAGGCAGGUCCAGAGAACCAGCACAUGGCACUGCCGUGCUCUGCCAGAUGACCUGCCGGGGGUGUGGAUUUAAACCACCGCCAGCGAUGCACGGAUAGUUGGUGUAUUUGUUUUCUGGAACAUGCCACUUUCUGCGAGUUUAGCGCAUGGAUGUCUGUUGUGUUUUCCUUCUCUCUGACUGCAUAACACGGGAUCCCAAACUGAGUGACACGGAGGUUCAUCGCUGCAUUAUCUCCUGCCUUUGAGCCCUGCCUGGGUCUCGAGGUGAGGUCAGGGGGCUUCGUGCCUGGAGGGUCUGAGCAGGAAUCUACCCCAAGGCUCAUGCAGCUUGGCAGAAAGUGGGUCUUGGGGUUGUUCUGUUCCCUCCCUGGCUGCCGGGCACAGACCUGUCCCCAGACCCUAAAGGGCCCCCAUGCUCCUAGUCACGUGGCUCCCUGUCUUCAGGCCACACGAAACCUCCCAUCUUCGGAAUCUGU